rnacentral:rRNA from 1 species
GACGAACGCUGGCGGCGUGCUUAACACAUGCAAGUCGAACGGAAAGGCCCUGCUGUUGUGGGGUGCUCGAGUGGCGAAAGGGUUAGUAACACGUGAGUAACCUGCCCUUGACUUUGGGGUAACUUCAGGAAACUGGGGCUAAUACCGGAUAGGAUCUCCUGCUGCAAGGUGGGUGUUGGAAAGUUUCGGCGGUUGGGGAUGGACUCGCGGCUUAUCAGCUUGUUGGUGGGGUAGUGGCUUACCAAGGCUUUGACGGGUAGCCGGCCUGAGAGGGGGACCGGGCCGAUUGGGACUGGGCUGCGGCCCAGACUACUACGGGAGGGAGCGGAGGGGAAUGGUGCACAACAGGAUGAAGGCUGCUGCGGCAACGCCGCGUGCGGGAUGACGGCCUGCAGGUUGGAAACCGCUUUCGCCUGUGACGAAGCGUGAGUGACGGUAAUGGGUAAAGAAGCACCGGCUAACUACGUG